rnacentral:rRNA from 1 species
GAUGAACGCUGGCGGCGUGCCUAAUACAUGCAAGUCGAGCGAACAGGUAAGGAUCUUGCUCCUUUGACGUUAGCGGCGGACGGGUGAGUAACACGUGUGUAACCUACCUAUCAUACUGGUAUAACUUCGGGAAACCGGAUCUAAUCCCGGAUAAUAUUUCGAACCGCAUGGUUCGAUAGUGAAAGAUGGUUUUGCUAUCACUUAUCGAUGGACCCGCGCCGUAUUAGCUAGUUGGUAAGGUAACGGCUUACCAAGGCGACGAUACGUAGCCGACCUGAGAGGGUGAUAGGCCACACUGGAACUGAGACACGGUCCAGACUACUACGGGAGGCAGCAGUAGGGAAUCGUACGCAAUGGGCGAAAGCCUGACGGAGCAACGCCGCGUGAGUGAUGAAGGUCUUCGGAUCGUAAAACUCUGUUAUUAGGGAAGAACAUACGUGUAAGUAACUGUGCACGUCUUGACGGUACCUAAUCAGAAAGCCACGGCUAACUACGUG